rnacentral:rRNA from 1 species
CCUACGGGUGGCAGCAGUGGGGGAUAUUGCACAAUGGGGGCAACCCUGAUGCAGCGACGCCGCGUGGGCGAAGAAGUAUUUCGGUAUGUAAAGCCCUAUCAGCAGGGAAGAAGAAAUGACGGUACCUGAUUAAGAAGCACCGGCUAAAUACGUGCCAGCAGCCGCGGUAAUACGUAUGGUGCAAGCGUUAUCCGGAUUUACUGGGUGUAAAGGGAGCGCAGGCGGAACGGCAAGCCAGUUGUGAAAGCCCGGGGCCCAACCGCGGGACUGCAUUGGGAACUGCCGGGCUGGAGUGCCGGAGAGGUAGGCGGAAUUCCUAGUGUAGCGGUGAAAUGCGUAGAUAUUAGGAGGAACACCAGUGGCGAAGGCGGACUACUGGACGGUGACUGACGGUGAGGCUCGAAAGCGUGGGGAGCAAACAGGAUUAGAUACCCCAGUAGUC